ensembl:lncRNA MALAT1 metastasis associated lung adenocarcinoma transcript 1
GGAAACUUUUUUUUUUUCUAUAGACUUUUUUCAGAUAACAUCUUCUGAGUCAUAACCAGCCUGGCAGUAUGAUGGCCUAGAUGCAGAGAAAACAGCUCCUUGGUGAAUUGAUAAGUAAAGGCAGAAAAGAUUAUAUGUCAUACCUCCAUUGGGGAAUAAGCAUAACCCUGAGAUUCUUACUACUGAUGAGAACAUUAUCUGCAUAUGCCAAAAAAUUUUAAGCAAAUGAAAGCUACCAAUUUAAAGUUACGGAAUCUACCAUUUUAAAGUUAAUUGCUUGUCAAGCUAUAACCACAAAAAUAAUGAAUUGAUGAGAAAUACAAUGAAGAGGCAAUGUCCAUCUCAAAAUACUGCUUUUACAAAAGCAGAAUAAAAGCGAAAAGAAAUGAAAAUGUUACACUACAUUAAUCCUGGAAUAAAAGAAGCCGAAAUAAAUGAGAGAUGAGUUGGGAUCAAGUGGAUUGAGGAGGCUGUGCUGUGUGCCAAUGUUUCGUUUGCCUCAGACAGGUAUCUCUUCGUUAUCAGAAGAGUUGCUUCAUUUCAUCUGGGAGCAGAAAACAGCAGGCAGCUGUUAACAGAUAAGUUUAACUUGCAUCUGCAGUAUUGCAUGUUAGGGAUAAGUGCUUAUUUUUAAGAGCUGUGGAGUUCUUAAAUAUCAACCAUGGCACUUUCUCCUGACCCCUUCCCUAGGGGAUUUCAGGAUUGAGAAAUUUUUCCAUCGAGCCUUUUUAAAAUUGUAGGACUUGUUCCUGUGGGCUUCAGUGAUGGGAUAGUACACUUCACUCAGAGGCAUUUGCAUCUUUAAAUAAUUUCUUAAAAGCCUCUAAAGUGAUCAGUGCCUUGAUGCCAACUAAGGAAAUUUGUUUAGCAUUGAAUCUCUGAAGGCUCUAUGAAAGGAAUAGCAUGAUGUGCUGUUAGAAUCAGAUGUUACUGCUAAAAUUUACAUGUUGUGAUGUAAAUUGUGUAGAAAACCAUUAAAUCAUUCAAAAUAAUAAACUAUUUUUAUUAGAGAAUGUAUACUUUUAGAAAGCUGUCUCCUUAUUUAAAUAAAAUAGUGUUUGUCUGUAGUUCAGUGUUGGGGCAAUCUUGGGGGGGAUUCUUCUCUAAUCUUUCAGAAACUUUGUCUGCGAACACUCUUUAAUGGACCAGAUCAGGAUUUGAGCGGAAGAACGAAUGUAACUUUAAGGCAGGAAAGACAAAUUUUAUUCUUCAUAAAGUGAUGAGCAUAUAAUAAUUCCAGGCACAUGGCAAUAGAGGCCCUCUAAAUAAGGAAUAAAUAACCUCUUAGACAGACUUCACAGAGAAUGCAGUUGUCUUGACUUCAGGUCUGUCUGUUCUGUUGGCAAGUAAAUGCAGUACUGUUCUGAUCCCGCUGCUAUUAGAAUGCAUUGUGAAACGACUGGAGUAUGAUUAAAAGUUGUGUUCCCCAAUGCUUGGAGUAGUGAUUGUUGAAGGAAAAAAUCCAGCUGAGUGAUAAAGGCUGAGUGUUGAGGAAAUUUCUGCAGUUUUAAGCAGUCGUAUUUGUGAUUGAAGCUGAGUACAUUUUGCUGGUGUAUUUUUAGUUCUUUCAGAUGGUAUUCUUCAGACUAUAGAAGGAGCUUCCAGUUGAAUUCACCAGUGGACAAAAUGAGGAAAACAGGUAAUAGCCUGCAGCUGGUGUUUUGAGAAGCCCUACUGCUGAAAACUUAACAAUUUUGUGUAAUAAAAAUGGAGAAGCUCUAAAUUGUUGUGGUUCUUUUGUGAAUAAAAAAAUCUUGAUUGGGGAAAAAA